AUCUGGAGGAAUACCGGUGGCGAAGGCGGCCCCCUGGACAAAGACUGACGCUCAGGUGCGAAAGCGUGGGGAGCAAACAGGAUUAGAUACCCUGGUAGUCCACGCCGUAAACGAUGUCUACUUGGAGGUUGUGCCCUUGAGGCGUGGCUUCCGGAGCUAACGCGUUAAGUAGACCGCCUGGGGAGUACGGCCGCAAGGUUAAAACUCAAAUGAAUUGACGGGGGCCCGCACAAGCGGUGGAGCAUGUGGUUUAAUUCGAUGCAACGCGAAGAACCUUACCUGGUCUUGACAUCCACAGAACUUUCCAGAGAUGGAUUGGUGCCUUCGGGAACUGUGAGACAGGUGCUGCAUGGCUGUCGUCAGCUCGUGUUGUGAAAUGUUGGGUUAAGUCCCGCAACGAGCGCAAC
rnacentral:rRNA from 2 species